rnacentral:rRNA from 1 species
AUUGAACGCUGGCGGCAUGCCUUACACAUGCAAGUCGAACGGCAGCGGGCCUUCGGGUGCCGGCGAGUGGCGAACGGGUGAGUAAUGCAUCGGAACGUGCCAUUGAGUGGGGGAUAACGUAGCGAAAGUUACGCUAAUACCGCAUAUUCUGUGAGCAGGAAAGCAGGGGACCGCAAGGCCUUGCGCUCUUUGAGCGGCCGAUGUCAGAUUAGCUAGUUGGUGAGGUAAAGGCUUACCAAAGGCGACGAUCUGUAGCGGGUCUGAGAGGAUGAUCCGCACACUGGAACUGAGACACGGUCCAGACUCCUACGGAG